rnacentral:rRNA from 1 species
AUGAUUCCUCACCGUACUGAUAGUAUGUGCUUGAGGCGAUGGAAAAGACUGUGUCAAGAUGAAUUACCUUUAGUGAUAGCAGCCAAUCAAGUAAAGAAAACUAUUUUCCAGACCAACUUUGUUGAUAGAGAAACAGAGCGACCUGCAAUUUGCCCCAGUGACUUCCCAUCACUUGUGUACUCGAAAGUUGACAGGCGUGAUGAGAACACUGCAAGUGAUCAAGUCAAGAAACCUCGAAAACGGUCGAGAAUAUCAUGUUCGGAUAACGUGCCAUCUGGUGAUCCCUCGAAGUCUUCUGCUGAUGUUGCCGUACUUAAUUGGUAG